rnacentral:rRNA from 1 species
GAUGAACGCUGACAGCAUGCUUAACACAUCAGCAAUUGAUUGUUGACGGACGGGUGAGUAAAGCGUAAAGAACUUGCCUCACAGGUAGGGACAACAUUUGGAAACGCAUGCUAAUAACUAAAACGGUGAGAGAGCUUUGCGUACCAUUAGCUCGUUGGUGAGGUAACGGCUUACCAAGUGGAUGAUGGGUAGCCGGCCUGAUAGGGUGAUCGGCCACAAGGGGACUGAGACACGGCCCUUACUCCUACUGUAGGCAGCAGUGGGGAAUAUUGUACAAUGGACCAAAGUCUGAUCCAGCAAUUCUGUGUGCACGAUGAAGUUUUCGGAAGGUAAAGUGCUUUCAGUUGGGAAGCGGUACCAACAGAAGAAGUGACGGCGAAAUACGUGCCAGCAGCCGCGGUAAUUC